rnacentral:rRNA from 1 species
GAUGAACGCUGGCGGUAUGCUUAACACAUGCAAGUCGAACGGACUCUUCGGAGUUAGUGGCGGACGGGUGAGUAACGCGUGGGAAUCUGGCUUUGGGUUCGGGACAACCACUGGAAACGGUGGCUAAUACCGGAUGUGCCGAGAGGUAAAAGAGAAAUUGCCUGAAGAUGAGCUCGCGUCUGAUUAGCUCGUUGGUGAGGUAAAGGCUCACCAAGGCAGCGAUCAGUAGCUGGUCUGAGAGGAUGACCAGCCACACUGGGACUGAGACACGGCAGAGACGCCUACGGGAGGCAGCAGUGGGGAAUUUUCCGCAAAGGGCGAAAGCCUGACGAAGCAAUACCGCGUGAGGGAAGAAGGCUCUUGGGAUGUAAACCUCUUUUCUUAGGGAAGAACAAAAUGACGGUACCUAAGGAAUCAGCAUCGGCUAACUCCGUG